UACUUAUUCGGGUAAAAAAGAAAAGGCACUUUUAACCUGGCACGGUCUUGGAGUUUUCACAAACGCUCCUCUGCUCCUGGAUCAUCACCUCAGCUGACUGUCUGUUGUGUUCAAGAUGGGACAUAUCACUCUUGUCACUUUCCUGGCAGCACUGUUUUCCAUUUUUAUGGAAGCAGAAGCAAGUAAGACCAAACCUCUUCUUCUUUUUUCAUUGAACCGUUGAUCUGGGAACAAUUUUAAGUUUCAUUCAGACUCAGUAUCACCAGAUGGGAGAUUUGAGUCUAGAAUCUAUAGUGAAGUUACAUCAUUUAGCGUCUAUGUGUUGUUUUCUUGAUUCACUUUGAUUAUUUGAACCAGUUUUUUUUUGUUUUUUUCCGUCUUGCAUCUCAUUAAACACACCUUAGAUCAGUGUUUCCAAAUGUUGUUUGACUUCGGUACCCCUUUGGGCCUUUUUUCUGACCAUGAGUCCCCCACUCAGUCAAAAGUAUGGAUGAUUGUCCAAAAGUGGAACCCUUACUAAAUCUUUUAACUUGAGCAUUUAAUUCUGAGGCAUUUUAUUCCUUCCAUCUAAAAAAAAAACAUAAAAUAAAUAUGUUACCUGGAAGUUAGUAAGAAAUCAGAAUAAAUAAACUCGAGCUCCUCUGAGUAACUCCAUUAUAAUCCCAUUUAAACUUGAUGAAAUGGGGGGGAAAUGCAGAACAAAAGUUAUAGUCAGACGGACUUAAUAAGUUUUACUUUGUUUUCAUUACAACACCUAAGCUGCUUUGAUGAGCUCCUAUAGCUCUGUGUAAAGAAACAGCUGAUCCCAGGCUGUUCUCUUCAUAAAAUCUGAUAUUUUGCUUGGUUUGGAUGUGGGUCAAAGCUUAAGGUGCACACACACAUAUACUAAAAACUUAGUUUUUGGUUGAAUAAAAGCUUUUUUAAAUUUUUGAUUGGGUCCUCCCAAAGAAAAAUAGAUCCCAAUCCUAUUUUAUUUUACUACCUCAAAAAUAACAUAUUUUUAUGCACCCUUUGCGAUGCACUCGCGGUCCACUAGGGGAACACGUACCCCCGGUUGGGAAUCACUGCUUUAUAAGGAAUGAUAUUAAAGUUUUUCGCUGUUUUGAAUCUGUAAUAUUUAAAAACCUGAAAAUGAACCUUGGAGUCAGUAGCCAAUCCAUGGUUACAUCUAAUGUCAAUACAACAAACAAAUUACUGAGGUGCUGAAAGAAGCAAUGUUUUCUAAUGUGAAAGUUUCACAGUAUUUUGCAAUUCAUUAAAGCUUUUGAGAUGCAAUUGGGAAAUGGAAAUAGGCACAAAUCUGCUGUUUGGCUGACUGACUAAAAACUGUAACUAAAUAAUUUUUGUUUUCUUUUCUUUUUUUCUACGCCUUCCUGCUUUGGUGUCGGUUCUUCAGACCCAUUCGUUUACAACUAUGAAAGGCUAAGAAUCGGAGGCCUGAUCUUUGCCUGCUUGUUGAUAGGUGGAGGAAUCGGCCUUGUCGUCUAUAACCAAUGUGCUAAGAGACCCAGUCGGAAAAAGGAAAACGACAGUGAUAUCUGAUCCCGAUCCCGACAAACCUGUUUCAGUCACAAAGAGGAGCUGGGAGGUUGUGGUUGGAGAGAACGGGAGCAUGGUGGGACAGUAGGAGGAAGCACAUCUCAGAAGAUUUGGCUUUACCUGUACAGACAUAAAGCAAUCAGCAUCCCCAUGUUAUUUCUGAUACGCCAUUAUAAAAAGCCUUAAAAUGUCAAAGACUAAAUUAGUUGAAUCUCAAUAGCUCCACCUCCGAUUUUGUCAAUUUUUUCCCUUAUAUGUCCUUAUAUUACUAGUAGCACUGCCCAUACAGCAUAGAGGGCUCUCUCUACAGGUGCAUAAACUGACAUCAAAUGUUGUAGAAGGCUUCUAGGGCCUUUAAUAGAAAAUGAUCAUAAGUUUGAUAAAAUGGUGUUCAUUCAAAUUGGUGAUGUGUGAUUAAUUAUAUAUAUUGACUUAUAUGUUGUAACAGAAUUCGUGAAAAUAAAUGUCGCCCAGCUAAAUGCAUGUUGAAAUUCUAAUAAAUGUCACUAU